ensembl:lncRNA
GCCCCACCCAGCCUGCUUUCUUUUGGGUGGAGCAACAACAAUGAAUGCUGCUUAGGAACAUAACCACAAUGUGGGCAGGAAGGCGAGGUGUGUUCUCGAAUAGCUCUCAUAGGAGGUGGUGCAUGUGGCCAGUGUUGCACAUGGGCAGACUGCAAGUAUGCAGAACAACAGGCCCCUCCUGACAGCGGCUCCGAGAGAAACUCCCUGGAGAUGUGGGAUUUGAGACAGAGUCUUCCUAUGUAGCCCAGGCUGGCCUCGAAUGCAGCAGUCCUCCUGCCUCAGCUUCCCAAAUGCUGGGAUCAGAGGCGUAUGCCCCCAUGCCGGCAUCUCUUCAUUUUCAAAUCAAGGAUAACAAUAACCACUACGGGACCAGGGAUUUAGCUCAGUGGUUUCGCCUCCUGCUGCACAAGCGCAAGGGCCCGAGUUCGAUCCCCGGUACCAAAAAAAACCCAAAAAACAGUAACCACUACAAUUGGCCUCUGCAUCAAUGGAUUCUGCAUCUGUAGAUUCAACUAACCAUAGAUGAGACAUUAAAAAUAUUGUAUCUUAAAAAAAAUUUUAAAAAUAUUGUAUCUGUACUGAACAUGAACCUGUCGUCAUCCCCUAAAUAAUAUAGCAAAACUACUGUUCACACAGCAUUUACAUGGUACUGUAAAUAAUCUGGAGACAAUUUCAAAUAUACAGGAGGAGUGCAUAUGCUAUAUGCAAAUACCGUGCCAUUUUUCAUAGGGGACUUGAGCAUCCUAGAUUUUGGUAUCCCAGGGGAUUUCAGAACCAACCCCUCAUAGAUACUGAGGAGCAGCUAUAUUGGGGAAAAGCAUUAUGUUUUACAAAUUAUUUUUGUAUAUUUACUUAGGUAUGCACAGAGUCCCAACUAUAUACUUGGCACUAUGGAAACACUGUGUCUAAAGAAGGAGACACAAUUCUUGCAUUUUUGGAAAUUCAGUC